UUAAGCGACCAAGCGUACACGGUGGAUGCCCUGGCAGUCAGAGGCGAUGAAGGACGUGCUAAUCUGCGAAAAGCGCCGGUAAGGUGAUAUGAACCGUUAUAACCGGCGAUGUCCGAAUGGGGAAACCCAGUGUGACUCGUCACACUAUCAUUAACUGAAUCCAUAGGUUAAUGAGGCGAACCGGGGGAACUGAAACAUCUAAGUACCCCGAGGAAAAGAAAUCAACCGAGAUUCCCCCAGUAGCGGCGAGCGAACGGGGAGGAGCCCAGAGCCUGAAUCAGCAUGUGUGUUAGUGGAAGCGUCUGGAAAGGCGCGCGAUACAGGGUGAGAGCCCCGUACACAAAAGCGCACAUGCUGUGAGCUCGAUGAGUAGGGCGGGACACGUGGUAUCCUGUCUGAAUAUGGGGGGACCAUCCUCCAAGGCUAAAUACUCCUGACUGACCGAUAGUGAACCAGUACCGUGAGGGAAAGGCGAAAAGAACCCCGGCGAGGGGAGUGAAACAGAACCUGAAACCGUGUACGUACAAGCAGUGGGAGCCCCACCACUAAGCCAGUGGUGAACUCCACAUACGCAUCCUUUGCGGAAGAUGCGGUUAACGGAGCGAAAGCGACGUUCAACCUCAGAAGAAGCAGAGGGGGCUUAGUGGUGGGGUGACUGCGUACCUUUUGUAUAAUGGGUCAGCGACUUAUAUUCUGUAGCAAGGUUAACCGCAUAGGGGAGCCGAAGGGAAACCGAGUCUUAAUUGGGCGUUAAGUUGCAGGGUAUAGACCCGAAACCCGGUGAUCUAGCCAUGGGCAGGUUGAAGGUUGGGUAACACUAACUGGAGGACCGAACCGACUAAUGUUGAAAAAUUAGCGGAUGACCUGUGGCUGGGGGUGAAAGGCCAAUCAAACCGGGAGAUAGCUGGUUCUCCCCGAAAGCUAUUUAGGUAGCGCCUCGUGAAUUCAUCUCCGGGGGUAGAGCACUGUUUCGGCUAGGGGGCCAUCCCGGCUUACCAACCCGAUGCAAACUGCGAAUACCGGAGAAUGUUAUCACGGGAGACACACGGCGGGUGCUAACGUCCGUCGUGAAGAGGGAAACAACCCAGACCGCCAGCUAAGGUCCCAAAGUCAUGGUUAAGUGGGAAACGAUGUGGGAAGGCCCAGACAGCCAGGAUGUUGGCUUAGAAGCAGCCAUCAUUUAAAGAAAGCGUAAUAGCUCACUGGUCGAGUCGGCCUGCGCGGAAGAUGUAACGGGGCUAAACCAUGCACCGAAGCUGCGGCAGCGACACUGUGUGUUGUUGGGUAGGGGAGCGUUCUGUAAGCCGUUGAAGGUGUCCUGUGAGGGGUGCUGGAGGUAUCAGAAGUGCGAAUGCUGACAUAAGUAACGAUAAAGCGGGUGAAAAGCCCGCUCGCCGGAAGACCAAGGGUUCCUGUCCAACGUUAAUCGGGGCAGGGUGAGUCGACCCCUAAGGCGAGGCCGAAAGGCGUAGUCGAUGGGAAACGGGUUAAUAUUCCCGUACUUGGUGUUACUGCGAAGGGGGGACGGAGAAGGCUAUGUUGGCCGGGCGACGGUUGUCCCGGUUUAAGCGUGUAGGUGUGUGUUCCAGGUAAAUCCGGUUCACUUUAACACUGAGGCGUGAUGACGAGGCACCACGGUGCUGAAGCAACAAAUGCCCUGCUUCCAGGAAAAGCCUCUAAGCAUCAGGUAACAUCAAAUCGUACCCCAAACCGACACAGGUGGUCAGGUAGAGAAUACCAAGGCGCUUGAGAGAACUCGGGUGAAGGAACUAGGCAAAAUGGUGCCGUAACUUCGGGAGAAGGCACGCUGACACGUAGGUGAAGUGAUUUACUCAUGGAGCUGAAGUCAGUCGAAGAUACCAGCUGGCUGCAACUGUUUAUUAAAAACACAGCACUGUGCAAACACGAAAGUGGACGUAUACGGUGUGACGCCUGCCCGGUGCCGGAAGGUUAAUUGAUGGGGUCAGCGCAAGCGAAGCUCCUGAUCGAAGCCCCGGUAAACGGCGGCCGUAACUAUAACGGUCCUAAGGUAGCGAAAUUCCUUGUCGGGUAAGUUCCGACCUGCACGAAUGGCGUAAUGAUGGCCAGGCUGUCUCCACCCGAGACUCAGUGAAAUUGAACUCGCUGUGAAGAUGCAGUGUACCCGCGGCAAGACGGAAAGACCCCGUGAACCUUUACUAUAGCUUGACACUGAACAUUGAGCCUUGAUGUGUAGGAUAGGUGGGAGGCUUUGAAGCGUGGACGCCAGUCUGCGUGGAGCCGACCUUGAAAUACCACCCUUUAAUGUUUGAUGUUCUAACGUGGACCCGUAAUCCGGGUUGCGGACAGUGUCUGGUGGGUAGUUUGACUGGGGCGGUCUCCUCCUAAAGAGUAACGGAGGAGCACGAAGGUUGGCUAAUCCUGGUCGGACAUCAGGAGGUUAGUGCAAUGGCAUAAGCCAGCUUGACUGCGAGCGUGACGGCGCGAGCAGGUGCGAAAGCAGGUCAUAGUGAUCCGGUGGUUCUGAAUGGAAGGGCCAUCGCUCAACGGAUAAAAGGUACUCCGGGGAUAACAGGCUGAUACCGCCCAAGAGUUCAUAUCGACGGCGGUGUUUGGCACCUCGAUGUCGGCUCAUCACAUCCUGGGGCUGAAGUAGGUCCCAAGGGUAUGGCUGUUCGCCAUUUAAAGUGGUACGCGAGCUGGGUUUAGAACGUCGUGAGACAGUUCGGUCCCUAUCUGCCGUGGGCGCUGGAAGACUGAGGGGGGCUGCUCCUAGUACGAGAGGACCGGAGUGGACGCAUCACUGGUGUUCGGGUUGUCAUGCCAAUGGCACUGCCCGGUAGCUAAAUGCGGAAAAGAUAAGUGCUGAAAGCAUCUAAGCACGAAACUUGCCCCGAGAUGAGUCUUCCCUGAGACCUUGAGUCUCCUGAAGGAACGUUAAAGACGAUGACGUUGAUAGGCCGGGUGUGUAAGCGCAGCGAUGCGUUGAGCUAACCGGUACUAAUGAACCGUGAGGCUUAACCUU
rnacentral:rRNA from 1 species